rnacentral:rRNA from 1 species
UUCUUUUAGUUAGUAUUAAAAGUAUAUUCUGCUCAAUGAAUUUUUAAAUAGCUGCAUAUUUUGUACUAAGGUAGCAUAAUCAAUUGUCUAUUAAAUGUAGACUUGUAUGAAGGAAUAAAUAAUUAAUUUCUUUAUUUUUAGUAAUUUUUGAAUUUUAAUUUUUAGUUAGAAUGCCAAAAUUUUUUAUAGGGACAAGAAGACCCUAUAAAGCUUUAAAAUAAAAUUAUAAUAUUUAUUGUAGUUUUAUUUUUAAUUGGGGCAAUUAAUUAUAAUUAUAAAUAUAAAUAAAAAUAUUAAUCUUAAAGGAUUGAUCCUAUUUUAUAGAAAAUUUGAAUAAGUUACUUUAGGGAUAACAGUAUAAUUUUUAUUAAUAAGUUCAAAUUUUCAAUAAAGAUUAUAACCUCGAUGUUGAAUUAAUUUUAUAAUAUAGUGAAGAAGCUAUAAUUAUUUGACUGUUCGUCAUUUAAUAAAUUACA